UUACGCUGUUAUCCCUAAGGUAAUUUAAUCUUAUAAUCAACAAAAUUGGAUCAACCACUCAUAAAUAAAUGUAUAUAAAAAAAGAAGAGUUAAUUAAAUCUUCCCAUCACCCCAACAAAAUAUAUUAAAUAUUUAAAAAUAAAAAUCAAACAAAAUAAAUAAAUAAUAUAUAUAAACUCUAUAGGGUCUUCUCGUCCCAUAAAUAAAUUUAAGCUUUUUAACUUAAAAAUUAAAUUCAAUAAAAAUAAUAAGAAACAGUCUAUUCCUCGUCCAACCAUUCAUUCCAGUCCACAAUUAAAAGACUAAUGAUUAUGCUACCUUUGCACGGUCAAAAUACCGCGGCCCUUCAAUCAACUUCAGUGGGCAGGUCAUAUUUCAUAUCAAAUACAGAAAGAUGUUUUUGUUAAACAGGCG
rnacentral:rRNA from 1 species